rnacentral:rRNA from 1 species
ACACUCCUACGGGAGGCAGCAGUGGGGAAUAUUGCACAAUGGGCGCAAGCCUGAUGCAGCCAUGCCGCGUGUAUGAAGAAGGCCUUCGGGUUGUAAAGUACUUUCAGCGGGGAGGAAGGCAAUACGGUUAAUAACCGUGUUGAUUGACGUUACCCGCAGAAGAAGCACCGGCUAACUCCGUGCCAGCAGCCGCGGUAAUACGGAGGGUGCAAGCGUUAAUCGGAAUUACUGGGCGUAAAGCGCACGCAGGCGGUCUGUCAAGUCGGAUGUGAAAUCCCCGGGCUCAACCUGGGAACUGCAUUCGAAACUGGCAGGCUUGAGUCUUGUAGAGGGGGGUAGAAUUCCAGGUGUAGCGGUGAAAUGCGUAGAGAUCUGGAGGAAUACCGGUGGCGAAGGCGGCCCCCUGGACAAAGACUGACGCUCAGGUGCGAAAGCGUGGGGAGCAAACAGGAUUAGAAACCCCAGUAGUCCCAUG